AUUCCAGUAACUCUUAUAAUAGUAGUUUGACUAUGCAUAUAGAUACAAAGGAUGACAACACUAACAUUGGAUCCUCCAUCAUUUUCUUUCUGAAAUGAAGAUGCUCCGAGAUUAGAUAGUGCCUCUAUAUAAUACCACAAUAAGGACUCAAAUAGAACGAGCAACAUCAACCUCAAGGAAUAUCUUGCAAGGGAGGAAAAGAAAAAUAGGCACCCACACUUCUGAUGGCGCUUAUCAAGAACAACACAAAUGCCCUGUGCUUGCUAAUUCUUCUGAUGUCUACCACUUUGUUUCCAUGCGAGGCAACUGGGAGAAACAAAGGUACAACUGCAUUGAUUGAUGUGUGCAAACCUGACCGGUUAUGCGAGAACCCGAUAGGAUACAAUGUUACCUUGUGUAAGGUUUCAUGCGAAUGGUCUGGCUAUAGUUUCGACAACAGCUACUGUGAAAAGGGUAAUUGCUGCUGCGCAUCCUAAGGGAUUAAGCGAGGUGCCAAAAUGCCAUGCUUGGAAGAUAUGGUGAAUUUCAAUAAACAAUAAAAGUUAGUUUUGGCACGACUGUGCAACUUCAUGUUCAUCAAUAUGAAUGCUAUCCAAGUUAUUUUGAUAUCAAAAACUGUGUUUCAAAUGUCGCCAAGGAAAUUGGGGUCGACUAAUUUCUGUGUCACUC